AGGUUUAUGUUAAAGGUUAUGAGUCCAUGUUACUAUUUUUUUUUUAAAUAUGAACAUGCCCAAAUUUGGCUAGUAGUUUACGUCGCGGUAAGAUGUGUGCAGGUAAAAACUUUUUUUGCUUAGGAGUCGUUUGUGUUGUCUUUAGGGGCACAUAAUAGUCGACUUGUGUCAGGUAGGUAUCGCUCUCGCUCUCAGUUUUAUGUUGUUUGAUGUUUGAAGCGUCUCGGUUGUAUGUCGUAGUUGCUGAGUUGUUGUUUGUUUGGAAAUCGUAUGUGUGAUUCAUUGAUUGUUUUCUAAACUUAACGGUAGAUUUUUGGUGUUGUGAGAUACGUGUGAUUUGUCUUUGUAAGAAGAGGAUGUGGGGUUAUCUGAAUACAUGAGGGACUGUAAAGUAUUUGUAUUAAUGGUUCAGGUGGAAGUGUGCGUAGAGGUUGAAAAGGGGUGGGUGAGGAUUGAGGAGUAAUUGUUUUGGUGAGAGUCAAUCGUCGAAUAUUUAUUAACAUUAUACCACUCAUUUUAAAAAGUGUUGAUGUGAAUUCAUGGGAAUGAGUAGCAUAUGAUUUCUUAAUCGCCAAUUGAGUUGGUAUGAGAACUUAACUGCUUGUAGGUGAAUGUUAUUUCUGUGGUGGGUGGAGUAACCAGUGACGGCAGAGUCAAAUGCUCGAAGGUUGAAUGCAGUACUAGUGACGUAACAUAAGUUGAAUACAUUAGUUAUAUAUUAUAAGCAAAUGAACUCCACAUCCAAGAGUUCUAACUUGGUAUGGAAGAGACUUGCGGCCUUGUCAAACAC
rnacentral:lncRNA from 1 species